rnacentral:rRNA from 1 species
UACGUAGGGGGCAAGCGUUGCUCGGAAUCACUGGGCGUAAAGCGCACGUAGGCGGAUCUUUAAGUCAGGGGUGAAAUCCUGGAGCUCAACUCCAGAACUGCCUUUGAUACUGAGGAUCUUGAGUCCGGGAGAGGUGAGUGGAACUCCGAGUGUAGAGGUGAAAUUCGUAGAUAUUCGGAAGAACACCAGUGGCGAAGGCGGCUCACUGGCC